UAGUAUUCAAUUGUCAGAGGUGAAANNCUUGGAUUUAUUGAAGACUAACUACUGCGAAAGCAUUUGCCAAGGAUGUUUUCAUUAAUCAAGAACGAAAGUUAGGGGAUCAAAGACGAUCAGAUACCGUCGUAGUCUUAACCAUAAACUAUGCCGACUAGGGAUCGGAUGANGUUAAUUUUUUAAUGACUCA
rnacentral:rRNA from 1 species